GCGACGCUGCCGGGUCAGCCGCGGCGCUGGCUGCAGUGGCCGGUGUGAGCGCAGAGCAGGGCCCUGGGCAGCGGCGGCGCGGUAGGACCUCGCGCAGCGUCCGCGGGCUCCGGGGCGGGGGCGCCAGCGGCGAAGCCCCCUCCCCGGGGAGGCGGGACCUGGGGGAGCUCCCGAGCCGGGGAGCGGCGGCGGCCGGGAACGAUGCAUCAGAAGCUGCUGAAGAGCGCGCAUUACAUCGAGCUGGGCAGCUACCAGUACUGGCCGGUCCUGGUGCCCCGUGGCAUCCGCCUGUACACCUACGAGCAGAUCCCCGUGUCCCUCAAGGACAACCCGUACAUCACCGACGGCUACCGGGCCUACCUGCCGUCCAGGCUGUGUAUCAAAAGUUUGUUUAUUUUAUCUAAUGAGACAGUAAACAUCUGGAGUCAUUUGCUGGGUUUCUUUCUCUUCUUCACCCUGGGAAUAUAUGACAUGACAUCUGUGUUACCUUCAGCAAGUGCGUCCAGAGAAGAUUUUGUAAUUUGUUCUAUUUGUCUUUUCUGCUUCCAGGUCUGUAUGCUUUGCUCUGUGGGCUAUCAUCUUUUUUCCUGCCAUCGGUCAGAAAAAACAUGUCGAAGAUGGAUGGCAUUAGAUUAUGCAGGAAUUUCUAUUGGAAUACUGGGCUGCUAUGUCUCAGGAGUAUUUUACGCAUUUUAUUGUAAUAACUACUGGCGUCAGGUGUACUUGAUCACAGUGCUUGCUAUGAUCCUGGCAGUGUUCUUUGCGCAGAUUCAUCCCAAUUACCUCACGCAGCAAUGGCAAAGGCUCCGUUCUAUCAUCUUUUGUUCUGUUUCGGGAUAUGGAGUGAUUCCUACUCUUCACUGGGUUUGGCUCAAUGGAGGAAUUGAUGCUCCGAUUGUACAGGACUUUGCACCCCGUGUAAUUGUGAUGUAUAUGAUUGCUCUUCUGGCUUUCCUAUUCUACAUUUCCAAAGUCCCAGAGCGGUACUUUCCAGGACAACUAAACUACCUCGGAUCAAGCCACCAAAUAUGGCAUAUCCUUGCAGUAGUGAUGUUAUAUUGGUGGCAUCAGUCAACAGUGUAUGUCAUGCAGUACAGACAUAGCAAGCCUUGUCCUGACUAUGUUUCACAUUUGUGAAUUAGGUAUGGCCACCUGGUGAAUUCAGUUGUUAAGCAAUAUAUAAUGGGGAAUUGUAUACCCCACUAUUUCUAAGAUUCCCAUUAGUUUUCCCUUUUUCCUUUUUAAUAUGAGUAAUGCUUUAUAAAAAUGGGGAAAAAAAAGUAUACUUAAGGAUCUGUAGUAAUAACUGCUUUACAAAAUCCUUAAAUCUACUAAUUUGCUGCUUGUACAGAAAGUGAAAAUUAGUUGGCAAUCAUAAGAAACAUCUGAAUAACAACGAUGAAUGGGAAACUAGUGUUGAAAUAGGAUUCAUUUUACUUGGCACCAGGUUAAUUUCCUUAGGAAGGGCUCAUCUCCAUUAGAAAAUGGAGUCAUCUUAUGUGCUUAAUUAUUUUCAGUUAAUUAUCAAGUUUAAGUGCCUAAUCAAGGCAAGUGUUGUUUCAGCCUAUGCUUAAUGCAAGCUAGGAUAGUGAUUUUAAAUAAUCACUAAAAUCACUAGAUUUAAAUAAUCACUAAAAUGAUUUGUGAGAAACUGGCACUUCAGAUAUUAUAUCCUUUAGCUAUAGGUUCUUCUCUCCCUAAGAACAUUAGAUAUUUUAGUUUUCCAGAACAAAAGCUUUAAACUUCUGUAAGUUGAGAGAAGGGUUGAGAAGAGGAAAAGAACUUCUCAUUUUCUAUCAGAUAAGAAUCACAUUAGAAACUAAGUACAAAAUUAGACAACAAAUUAUGUGGUCAAAUAAUAUAGUCAUUACCCACCUAAACAUUUUAAUUCCAGAUAUUAUUUAAUUCCAUAUAACUGAAUUCUUGUGAGUGGAUUACAGGUUUUUGAUCCCAAAAUUCCAGAGCUUUCAACUCUUUAAAUUUGUAGUCCUGAAUAUCCCAGUGGUGGGGGUUCCCAGCAUUAUGGGUGCUACUUUCAAGGCCAUAGAAUCUAGAUGGCCCUGUCUUGACCCUGAAAUGAACCUUAAGCCUUAGAACAAAGUCGUGCAGGUGCCCCAUUUGAUAAUAAUCUUAUUCACCUGUGCUCUGGUCCUCGGUUUCUGCAUGUGUUAGCAUUGCAUUGAUAACUCAGAAUCUUGAUAAACACUUAAUAUUUGGACCUGAAGCAUUAAAAUUUCUUUUUAUUGUAUAUACUUAAAAAAUAGAACUCACUGCCCUAUCAUACAUUGUAGCCCUCUUAUUCUUUGGUCUUUCAUAUGCAUUAGUUAAAUCCCUUAAAGCAGACAUUCAUAAAAACUUACAUUGUUUAUUGGAGUAUAAAAUAUUACCCAAGUUUCUUAAUGAGUUGACAUGAGCUGUUUUAAAUACUAGUGUAUUUUCAGAACAGUAAAAUUACUGAAUAUCAGAAAAAAUGUUAAUGAAGCUUAUUCCCAAAAUGCCUUUUGUGCAUAUGAUAUUUGGAAAGUCACUUUAAUGUGCCUCAGUUAAUACAUCAGUAAAAUGUUGUGUUUCUUUUCCAGUGUAGUGUUUUUGGAAUAUAAAUUCCCCAUGCUAGUAUAGUAUCUUAGGAAAGAGAAUUUCCCCCCAGGAGGCUCAGUAAAGGAAUACCGUGUCUUACCCAUCAUUAUGAUGGAAGGCUGCUUUGAAAAUGGCUGUUUUACCUUAUAAGGUUAAAAUUUUGAUCCAUAUGUUAAGUGAUAGAAGAUUUUGGUGCAACAGUAGUAGGAUAUAUUUCUCCUAGAACAUCCCUUAUUGGCUUACAUUAUUUUAUUGCCUUUAAAUAGAUAUUUUCUCAUUUUGGCCAAACAAAAGACACUGAGUAGUUAUACUUAAGUUAAAAAUGAGGGGAAAAGUCAUUAUUUUAGGUGUGGAGCCAUUUUUAUUGUAAAACAUUCUCAAAAUAAAAAAAAUUGAAUCAUUUCAAUUUUUGCAAUCCCUGUAUUAGUAUAUGAAUACAUACUUGCCAUUUGAAUUAAUACAUGAAAAGAGUAUACUGUGUUUUUAAAUCAGUGUUUCUUUGAAUUUAAAGGGUGUACAGGUCUUUCUGCAGGGAAAAUUAUUCCAUGUAAACAUUUCAACUUUGUAUGAAAAUGUUAAAUAUUGUAAGAAAGUUAUCCUCUCAUUUUUUCACUGCUAUGAUGUAUUUAUUAUAAAAUAGGGAAUGAAUGAAUAUGGAUUGCUGUCAACUAGAAACACUUCUGUAUGUCAGUCAGCAUUUAAUGACCACCUACUGUGUGCACAGCACUACUGAAUCAGGAACGAAGAUUCAGGGAAUGUCUGUCACAUCUUAUGGCAUCCCACCUGGACAGAAUAUCCGAUUUGAAGAUUGUGAUUGACUUCCAUAAAACUCUACAACUCUCCAUUUGGCAGGUGAAUAUAAAUGAGGGAGAAGUGUGGGGAGAAGCAAGUCUAUGGCUAAUUCAAGAGGAGCUGAGAUCCACUUCAGAAUUGACCAGAAUACCUCCUGCUGAGGAAAAGUUAGGUUCCAGGCUACAAGUUACCACAAUGCAAGAUAACCAAACAAGUCUGAAUGUUGAAAAGCUGUUCAAUAUACUCAGCAGAAAUCCUAAACACUCAAUUCUUCUUUUGGCUUUACAUUUUGAUGAUGUUACAUGUGUAACUUGCCUGAAUGAGAAAUGAAAGGAACAGAACCAAAAGGAUCUUCUGGAGGAUGGUUAUGUGGAGCAGAAAGUGACUCUACAUUCUUAUCUGAGGAUGCUCUCUCCUCGAGCCUAUCUGCAAAAAUAAGAUGAAACGAAAUAAAAAAUGAAAUGAAAUAAAAAUGAUCUUUAAAUUAAAAAGUGAUAUACAAUAUAAAUAAAAGUGAAAAUUAAAGCACCAGCCUUUUUGAAAAACAUUAGGUUCAGAAUCUAUCAUUGUAAGUAUUAGGGAGUAGUCCUGAAUUUAAUACAUAUUUGUUGCCGCAAAAGCAAGUUUAACAAUAUAAUCCGUGAUAGGUUUCACUAAAUACAAUUAACCUAAUAAUAAACUUAGUCUGAUUCAUUUAAAUACUACUUGUCCUCAACUUUUGGGCCUGAACUCAAACCCAGCUAAACAAACAGAGACAUAUUUGACAGACAGUCUCCAAAAAUAAAUUUAGAAAAAAAUCUUGCAAAUGGUCAUUCAUCCAUAAAGUAGGUAAAUCUUACUUCUCAAUAGCAAUAAAAAGUAAUUCACUAUAUUUUACUUUUUUGUUCAUUUUUUUAUACUACUUUGUAUUAUCAAACCAUUCUCUCUCUCACACACACACACACACAAACACACAUCCCCCCACAUACACUCACAAAAACUUACAAAAAACAGAGUUUAUUGAUUCAUCCAACAAGUAAAUUUGAGUAUCUACUAUGUGCCAAUAUGCCAGGCACUAUUCUAGGCAACUGGCAUGUAAUGUCAAACAAAACAAAGGCCCCUGCCCUUAUGCAGUUUAUAUGCUAGUGUGGAAAAAACAAAUAAUAGGCAAUAAGCAUAAUAAGAAAUGUAUAUGGUGCAUUAAAAGCUAUAGAGAAAAAUGUAGUGCAGGGAAACAGGAAUUGAGGGAGUGGGUAGAGGUUUUAGUAAUAGAGUGAUUCUAUUAGUCACUAGGUAAGAAAAGACUUGAAGGAGGCAAGGGAGUGAAUAUCUAGGAAAGAACAAUCAGGCAGAGAAAGAGCUGGAGCGAAGACUCUAAGGCAAGAGGCCCGGUGUGUUUUGAGUUGAUAUAUCCUGACUCCCUAGUAAUGAUUAUCUUUUCCUUGCUCUUAAACUCUCCAUAUAGGUCAGGGAUGGGGGCUCACACCUAUAAUCUCAGCACUCUGGAAGACCAAGGCAAGACGAUUUCUUGAAACCAGCCUGAGCAACACAGUGAGAUGACUUUUUUCACCAAGCAUGUAAUAAAAUUUGAAUCUCUCCCGA